rnacentral:rRNA from 1 species
GACGAACGCUGGCGGCGUGCCUAAUACAUGCAAGUCGAACGAAGCUGUUUUAACUGGUGCUUGCACCGACUUAAACAACUGAGUGGCGAACGGGUGAGUAACACGUGGGUAACCUGCCCCAAAGCGGGGGAUAACAUUUGGAAACAGAUGCUAAUACCGCAUAAUCACAGAAACCACAUGGUUUCUGUGUCAAAGAUGGUUUCGGCUAUCACUUUGGGAUGGACCCGCGGCGUAUUAGCUAGUUGGUAAGGUAAUGGCUUAACAAGGCAAUGAUACGUAGCCGAACUGAGAGGUUGAUCGGCCACAUUGGGACUGAGACACGGCCCAGACUCCUACGGGAGGCAGCAGUAGGGAAUCUUCCACAAUGGACGAAAGUCUGAUGGAGCAACGCCGCGUGAGUGAAGGAGGUUUUCGGAUCGUAAAACUCUGUUGUCAGGGAAGAACGUGUGCGAGAGUAACUGUUCGUGCAGUGACGGUAUCUGGCCAGAAAGCCACGGCUAACUACGUGCCAGCCGCCGCCGUAA